GAUGAACGCUGGCGGCGUGCUUAACACAUGCAAGUCGAACGGAAAGGCUCCUGCUUGCAGGGGUACUCGAGUGGCGAACGGGUGAGUAACACGUGGGUGAUCUGCCCUGCACUUCGGGAUAAGCCCGGGAAACUGGGUCUAAUACCGGAUAGGACGUCGGUUUGCAUGCCAUUGUGGAAAGUUUUUCGGUGUGGGGUGAGCUCGCGGCCUAUCAGCUUGUUGGUGGGGUAGUGGCUUACCAAGGCGUCGACGGGUAGCCGGCCUGAGAGGGUGUACGGCCACAUUGGGACUGAGAUACGGCCCAGACUCCUACGGGAGGCAGCAGUGGGGAAUAUUGCACAAUGGGCGGAAGCCUGAUGCAGCGACGCCGCGUGGGGGAUGACGGCCUUCGGGUUGUAAACUGCUUUCGCCUGGGACGAAGCGCGAGUGACGGUACCGGGAGAAGAAGCACCGGCUAACUACGUG
rnacentral:rRNA from 1 species